rnacentral:rRNA from 1 species
CACGGGGGGGGCAAGCGUUGUUCGGAAUCACUGGGCGUAAAGGGUGUCUAGGCGGUCAGGUAAGUGAGAUGUGAAAUGCCCCGGCUUACCCGGGGACCGGCAUCUCAUACUGUCUGGCUUGAGUAUGGGAGAGGAUGAGGGAAUUCCUGGUGUAGCGGUGAAAUGCGUAGAUAUCAGGAGGAACACCGGUGGCGAAAGCGCUCAUCUGGCCCAAUACUGACGCUGAAGCACGAAAGCCGGUAGGGAGCAAACGGG